GAUGAACGCUGGCGGCGUGCCUAAUACAUGCAAGUCGAGCGAACAGACGAGGAGCUUGCUCCUCUGACGUUAGCGGCGGACGGGUGAGUAACACGUGGAUAACCUACCUAUAAGACUGGGAUAACUUCGGGAAACCGGAGCUAAUACCGGAUAAUAUAUUGAACCGCAUGGUUCAAUAGUGAAAGACGGUUUUGCUGUCACUUAUAGAUGGAUCCGCGCCGCAUUAGCUAGUUGGUAAGGUAACGGCUUACCAAGGCGACGAUGCGUAGCCGACCGGAGAGGGUGAUCGGCCACACUGGAGCUGAGACACGGUCCAGACUCCUACGGGAGGCAGCAGUAGGGAAUCUUCCGCAAUGGGCGAAAGCCUGACGGAGCAACGCCGCGUGAGUGAUGAAGGUCUUCGGAUCGUAAAACUCUGUUAUUAGGGAAGAACAAAUGUGUAAGUAACUAUGCACGUCUUGACGGUACCUAAUCAGAAAGCCACGGCUAACUACGUG
rnacentral:rRNA from 1 species